rnacentral:lncRNA from 1 species
GGGUGUUGCCGAUCACGAUCCAAGGGUUCAGGGAGGUUUUUUGGCAUUGUGAGGAGACUGUACUCCUAUUCUUUCACAAAUUUAAGGCUUUAAAAGCCCUGUUCGAUGAACAGAGAGCUGUGUGUGUGUGCGGCUUUGUUCGGCAGUGAACCCAGAGAGUAGAGGCGAGGGACCAAUAGGAGCAGGAGCAAGAGGGCUUCAGGUAGACUGUUGGACAACGGACAGCGGACGCUUCAGAGGUUCAGGGGAUCUUCCUAAAGUGAGC